rnacentral:rRNA from 1 species
AUACGGAGGAUCCGAGCGUUAUCCGGAUUUAUUGGGUUUAAAGGGUGCGCAGGCGGCCAUUUAAGUCAGCGGUUAAAUCGUGGGGCUCAACCCCAUUCUGCCGUUGAUACUGGGUGGCUUGAUUGCGGUCGAGGUUGGCGGAAUUCGUUGUGUAGUGGUGAAAUGCAUAGAUAUGACGAAGAACACCGAUUGCGUAGGCAGCUGACCAGACCGCAAAUGACGCUCAUGCACGAAAGUGCGGGGAUCGAACAGGAUUAGAUACCCUGGUAGUCCGCACAGUAAACGAUGAAUACUUGUUUUCGGCGAUAUAAUGUCGGAGGCAAAGCGAAAGCGAUAAGUAGUCCACCUGGGGAGUACGCCGGCAACGGUGAAACUCAAAUGAAUUGACGGGG